rnacentral:rRNA from 1 species
UACGAAGGGGGCUAGCGUUGCUCGGAAUUACUGGGCGUAAAGCGUGCGCAGGCGGUUUUGUAAGUCUGUCGUGAAAGCCCCGGGCUCAACCUGGGAAUUGCGAUGGAGACUGCAAGGCUUGAAUCUGGCAGAGGGGGGUAGAAUUCCACGUGUAGCAGUGAAAUGCGUAGAGAUGUGGAGGAACACCGAUGGCGAAGGCAGCCCCCUGGGUCAAGAUUGACGCUCAUGCACGAAAGCGUGGGGAGCAAACAGG